GACGAACGCUGGCGGCGUGCCUAAUACAUGCAAGUAGAAGCUAGUUGCGAACGGGUGAGUAAUGUAUCGGAACGUGCCCAGUAGCGGGGGAUAACUACGCGAAAGCGUAGCUAAUACCGCAUACUAUUGGAGCGGCCGAUAUCGGAUUAGCUAGUUGGUGGGGUAACGGCUCACCAAGGCGACGAUCCGUAGCUGGUUUGAGAGGACGACCAGCCACACUGGGACUGAGACACGGCCCAGACUCCUACGGGAGGCAGCAGUGGGGAAUUUUGGACAAUGGGGGAAACCCUGAUCCAGCCAUCCCGCGUGUGCGAUGAAGGCCUUCGGGUUGUAAAGCACUUUUGGCAGGAAAGCGGUACCUGCAGAAUAAGCACCGGCUAACUACGUGCCAGCAGCCGCGGUAAUUC
rnacentral:rRNA from 1 species